GAGAGGGAAGGGGUUAAGGUGUGGUCCUGCUCACCUGAUGUACCAUGCCAGGUGUGUAUAAUACUGACGUUAAUGAGAGAGGGAAGGGUUAAGGUGUGGUCCUGCUCACCUGAUGUACCAUGCCAGGUGUGUAUAAUACUGACGUUAAUGAGAGAGGGAAGGGGAUAAGGUGUGGUCCUGCUCACCUGAUGUACCAUGCCAGGUGUGUAUAAUACUGACGUUAAUGAGAGAGGGAAGGGGUUAAGGUGUGGUCCUGCUCACCUGAUGUACCAUGCCAGGUGUGUAUAAUACUGACGUUAAUGAGAGAGGGAAGGGGUUUUAAGGUGUGGUCCUGCUCACCUGAUGUACCAUGCCAGGUGUGUAUAAUACUGACGUUAAUGAGAGAGGGAAGGGGUUAAGGUGUGGUCC
rnacentral:lncRNA from 1 species